CCUGGACUCAGGAUGAACGCUAGCGGCAGGCUUAACACAUGCAAGUCGAGGGGUAGAUUACUUCGGUAAUUGAGACCGGCGCACGGGUGCGUAACGCGUAUACAAUCUACCUUUACAGAGGGAUAGCCCAGAGAAAUUUGGAUUAAUACCUCAUAGUAUUUUCGAAUCGCAUGAUUUGAUUAUUAAAGUUCCAACGGUAAAAGAUGAGUAUGCGUCCCAUUAGCUAGAUGGUAAGGUAACGGCUUACCAUGGCUACGAUGGGUAGGGGUCCUGAGAGGGAGAUCCCCCACACUGGUACUGAGACACGGACCAGACUCCUACGGGAGGCAGCAGUGAGGAAUAUUGGACAAUGGGCGCAAGCCUGAUCCAGCCAUGCCGCGUGCAGGAAGAAGGUCCUAUGGAUUGUAAACUGCUUUUAUACAGGAAGAAACACCUCUACGUGUAGAGACUUGACGGUACUGUAUGAAUAAGGACCGGCUAACUCCGUG
rnacentral:rRNA from 1 species